rnacentral:rRNA from 1 species
GACGAACGCUGGCGGCGUGCCUAAUACAUGCAAGUCGAACGCAGUGGGGACGGGUGAGUAACACGUGGGUAACCUCCCAUCAGAGGGGAUAACACUUGGAAACAGGUGCUAAACCGAUACUGAUGGAUGGACCCGCGGUGCAUUCGCUAGUUGGUGAGGUAACGGCUCACCAAGGCCACGAUGCAUAGCCGGCCUGAGAGGGUGAGCGGCCACACUGGGACUGAGACACGGCCCAGACUCCUACGGGAGGCAGCAGUAGGGAAUCUUCUGCAAUUGACGAAAGUCUGACCGAGCAACGCCGCGUGAGUGAAGAAGGUUUUCGGAUUGUAAAGCUCUUUUGUUCGAGAAGCGGGAUCUAACCAGGAAGCCACGGCUAACUACGGGCCAGCAGCCGCGGUAAUUC